rnacentral:rRNA from 1 species
GGUUCGAUCAUGGCUCAGAUUGAACGCUUCGGCGGGAUGCUUUACACAUGCAAGUCGAACGGCAGCACGGACUUCGGUCUGGUGGCGAGUGGCGAACGGGUGAGUAAUGUAUCGGAACGUGCCUAGUAGCGGGGGAUAACUACGCGAAAGCGUAGCUAAUACCACAUACGCCCUUCGGGGGAAAGCGGGGGACACGCUGGAGCCUCGCACUAUUAGAGCGGUAAGUAUCGGAUUAGCUAGUUGGUGGGGUAACGGCUCACCAGAGCGGCAAUCCGUAGCUGGUUUAGAGAGGACGACCAGCCACGCUGGGACUGAGACACGGCCCAGACUCCUACGGGAGGCAGCGGUGGGGAAUUUUGGACAAUGGGGAAACCUGAUCCAGCCAUCCCGCGUGUGUGAUGAAGGCCUUCGGGUUGUAAAGCACUUUUGGCAGGAAAGAAACGGCGGGAUAAUACCCCGUGCAACUGACAACCUGCAGAAUGGCACCGGCUAACUACGUGCCAGCAGCCGCGGUAAUACGUAGGGUGCAAGCGUUAAUCGGAAUUACUGGGCGUAAAGCGGCUGCGCAGGCGUUCGGAAAGAAAGAUGUGAAAUCCCAGAGCUUAACGGAACUGCAUUUUAACUACCGAGCUAGAGUGUGUCAGAGGGAGGUGGAAUUCCGCGUGUAGCAGUGAAAUGCGUAAAAUAUGCGGAGGAACACCGAUGGCGAAGGCAGCCUCACGGAUAACAACGCUCAUGCGAAAGCGUGGGGAGCAAACAGGAUUAGAUACCCUGGUAGUCCACGCCCUAAACGAUGUCAACUAGCUGUUGUUGGGGCCUUCGGGCCUUGGUAGCGCAGCUAACGCGUGAAGUUGACCGCCUGCCGCAGGAAGUACGGUCGCAAGAUUAAAACUCAAAGGAAUUGACAGGGACCCGCACAAGCGGUGGAUGAUGUGGAUUAAUUCGAUGCAACGCGAAAAACCUUACCUGCUUGACAUGUCUGGAAUCCCGAAGAGAUUUGGGAGUGCUCGCAGAGAACCGGAACACAGGUGCUGCACUAGUAUCGUCAGCUCAUGUCGUGAGAUGUUGGGUUAAGUCCACAACGAGCGCAACCCUUUAUCAUUAGUUGCUACGAAAGGGCACUCUAAUGAGACUGCCGGUGACAAACCGGAGGAAGGUGGGGAUGACGUCAAGUCCUCAUGGCCCUUAUGGGUAGGGCUUCACGUCAUACAAUGGUCGGGACAGAGGGUCGCCAGCCUUUUGCAGAGGGAGCCAAUCCCGAGAAACCCGAUCGUAGUCCGGAUCACAGUCUGCAACUCGACUGCGUGAAGUCGGAAUCGCUAGUAAUCGCGGAUCAGCAUGUCGCGGUGAAUACGUUCCCGGGUCUUGUACACACCGCCCGUCACACCAUGGGAGUGGGUUUUACCAGAAGUAGUUAGCCUAACCGUAAGGAGGGCGA